AUUGAACGCUGGCGGCAUGCUUUACACAUGCAAGUCGAACGGUAACAGGUUAAGCUGACGAGUGGCGAACGGGUGAGUAAUGCAUCGGAACGUGCCCGAUCGUGGGGGAUAACGCAGCGAAAGCUGCGCUAAUACCGCAUACGAUCUGAGGAUGAAAGCGGGGGACCGUAAGGCCUCGCGCGAUCGGAGCGGCCGAUGUCAGAUUAGGUAGUUGGUGGGGUAAAGGCCCACCAAGCCGACGAUCUGUAGCUGGUCUGAGAGGACGACCAGCCACACUGGGACUGAGACACGGCCCAGACUCCUACGGGAGGCAGCAGUGGGGAAUUUUGGACAAUGGGCGAAAGCCUGAUUCAGCAAUGCCGCGUGCAGGAAGAAGGCCUUCGGGUUGUAAACUGCUUUUGUACGGAGCGAAAAGGUCCUUUCUAAUACAAGGGGCUCAUGACGGUACCGUAAGAAUAAGCACCGGCUAACAUCGUGCCAGCAGCCGCCGUAA
rnacentral:rRNA from 1 species